CGACCUCAGUUCAGGUGAGAUUACCGGCUGAAUUUAAGCAUAUUACUAAGCCGAGGAAAAGAAACUAACAAGGAUUCCCCUAGUAGCAGCGAGCGAACAGGGAAGAGCCCAGCGCUGAAUCCCCCGGGCCUCGCUCGGCGGGAAACGUAGCGUUUGGGAGGGCCCGUCAACACGGCGACUCGCUCACUGGUUCAAGUCCAACUUGAAUGGGGCCACACAGAGGGUGACAGGCCCGUAGAGCAGGAGCGGUUGUCGUGUGGGUCUCUCCUUAGAGUCGGUUUGCUUGAGAGUGCAGACUUAAGUGGGUGGUAAACUCCAUCUAAGGCUAAAUAUGACCACGAGACCGAUAGCACACAAGUACCGUGAGGGAAAGGUGAAAAGAACUUUGAAGAGAGAGUUCAAGAGUACGUGAAACUGAAGUGGUGUAAACGGACGAGUUCGAAAAGUCCGAAUGGUGAGAUUCAAACUUACCGUGCCGGUGGCCCUCGGGUUCAGAUGGCGUCGUCAGCUCGGGCUUCGGUUCGGGUCAUACGGCGUCACUCGUCCUGGGGGUAUCUGUCUGGUGCGGUGGGCUGCACUUCUCGCCUAGUAGGACGUCGCGACCCGUUGGGAUGUUCCGUUCACUGGCCCCUGGUGGAGCCCGCGCCGGAGCGUGGCCUUGUGCCGCGUUGCUGUUUGCACGGACCCGGGGUGACCUGAUCGGCGCCCGACGGUAUCAAAGCUUGGGAAGAGGCCGC
rnacentral:rRNA from 1 species